UACGUAGGUGGCAAGCGUUGUCCGGAUUUACUGGGCGUAAAGAGCUCGUAGGCGGUGUGUCACGUCGGCCGUGAAAACCUGCAGCUUAACUGUGGGCGUGCGGUCGAUACGGGCAUCACUGGAGUUCGGCAGGGGAGACUGGAAUUCCUGGUGUAGCGGUGAAAUGCGCAGAUAUCAGGAGGAACACCGGUGGCGAAGGCGGAUCUCUGGGCCAUUACUGACGCUGGAGGAGCGAAAGCGUGGGGAGCGAACAGG
rnacentral:rRNA from 1 species